rnacentral:pre_miRNA from 1 species
UUGUAACUUUUUUUUGCUUUUAAGUAAGGGUAAAUUAUUCUUGGGGGGGGAAAAAGGUCCAAGAUAAUUUCCCUUUCAGAUCAAGCAUGUUGU